GCUGAUGAUCGACAUAGGAGAAAAUUUAUAAAAUAAUUUGAUGAUCUUGUAAGUUAUAUUAGUGAUACAUUAUUUAUUUAAUUAUAAAUAAUACUAUUUAAACCAACAUAAUUUUUUAUGUUAUGAUGUAGAUGAAAUAUAAGUAUUUCAAUAAAGAAGUGGGUGCGACCGAUGAGUUGUAUGAUUUAGCAUGUGGUCCCGAUCGAAGGGUUAAUCAUUAUGCAUCUUGUAUCAUUGGAGGAAUGAGAUUUCAUACAAGGGAGCUUGAGAUGCAAUGACAGACUCAGAAUAGUGGGAUUGCU
rnacentral:lncRNA from 1 species